GACGAACGCUGGCGGCGUGCUUAACACAUGCAAGUCGAACGGAAAGGCCCUGCUUUUGUGGGGUGCUCGAGUGGCGAACGGGUGAGUAACACGUGAGUAACCUGCCCUUGACUUUGGGAUAACUUCAGGAAACUGGGGCUAAUACCGUAUAGGAGCUCCUGCUGCAUGGUGGGGGUUGGAAAGUUUCGGCGGUUGGGGCUGGACUGGCGGCUUAUCAGCUUGUUGGUGGGGUAGUGGCUGACCAAGGCUUUGACGGGUAGCCGGCCUGAGAGGGUGACCGGCCACAUUGGGACUGAGAUACGGACCAGAGUCGUACGGGAGGCAGCAGUGGGGAAUAUUGCACAGUGGGCGGAAGCCUGAUGCAGAAACGCCGCGUGCGGGAUGACGGCCUUCGGGUUGUAAACCGCUUUCGCCUGUGACGAAGCGUGAGUGACGGUAAUGGGUAAAGAAGCACCGGCUAACUACGUG
rnacentral:rRNA from 1 species